rnacentral:rRNA from 1 species
AGAGUUUGAUCCUGGCUCAGAUUGAACGCUGGCGGUAUGCUUUACACAUGCAAGUCGAACGGAUUAUGGAGCUUGCUCCAUAGUUAGUGGCGAACGGGUGAGUAAUAUAUCGGAACAUAUCCGGAAGUGGGGGAUAACGUAGCGAAAGUUACGCUAAUACCGCAUAUGCCCUGAGGGGGAAAGGGGGGGAUCGCAAGACCUCUCGCUUUCGGAGUGGCCGAUAUCGGAUUAGCUAGAUGGUGAGGUAAAGGCUCACCAUGGCGACGAUCCGUAGCUGGUCUGAGAGGACGACCAGCCACACUGGAACUGAGACACGGUCCAGACUCCUACGGGAGGCAGCAGUGGGGAAUUUUGGACAAUGGGCGAAAGCCUGAUCCAGCCAUACCGCGUGAGUGAAGAAGGCCUUCGGGUUGUAAAGCUCUUUCAGCCGGAAAGAAAUUGCUUCUAUUAAUACUAGGAGUAGAUGACGGUACCGGAAGAAGAAGCACCGGCUAACUACGUGCCAGCAGCCGCGGUAAUACGUAGGGUGCGAGCGUUAAUCGGAAUUACUGGGCGUAAAGCGUGCGCAGGCGGUUUUUUAAGCCAGAUGUGAAAUCCCCGGGCUCAACCUGGGAACUGCAUUUGGAACUGGAAGACUAGAGUGUAGCAGAGGGGGGUAGAAUUCCACGUGUAGCAGUGAAAUGCGUAGAUAUGUGGAGGAAUACCAAUGGCGAAGGCAGCCCCCUGGGUUAACACUGACGCUCAUGCACGAAAGCGUGGGGAGCAAACAGGAUUAGAUACCCUGGUAGUCC